CUGCGGCAGCGACACUCAGGUGUUGUUGGGUAGGGGAGCGUUCUGUAAGCCUGCGAAGGUGGCCUGUGAGGGUUGCUGGAGGUAUCAGAAGUGCGAAUGCUGACAUAAGUAACGAUAAAGCGGGUGAAAAGCCCGCUCGCCGGAAGACCAAGGGUUCCUGUCCAACGUUAAUCGGGGCAGGGUGAGUCGACCCCUAAGGCGAGGCCGAAAGGCGUAGUCGAUGGGAAACGGGUUAAUAUUCCCGUACUUGGUGUUACUGCGAAGGGGGGACGGAGAAGGCUAUGUUGGCCGGGCGACGGUUGUCCCGGUUUAAGCGUGUAGGUGUGUGUUCCAGGUAAAUCCGGUUCACUUUAACACUGAGGCGUGAUGACGAGGCACUACGGUGCUGAAGCAACAAAUGCCCUGCUUCCAGGAAAAGCCUCUAAGCAUCAGGUAACAUCAAAUCGUACCCCAAACCGACACAGGUGGUCAGGUAGAGAAUACCAAGGCGCUUGAGAGAACUCGGGUGAAGGAACUAGGCAAAAUGGUGCCGUAACUUCGGGAGAAGGCACGCUGACACGUAGGUGAAGUGAUUUACUCAUGGAGCUGAAGUCAGUCGAAGAUACCAGCUGGCUGCAACUGUUUAUUAAAAACACAGCACUGUGCAAACACGAAAGUGGACGUAU
rnacentral:rRNA from 1 species